UGCUGGAGCGCCGCCUGCUGGGAAACUGAGAAUUAGCGGGUAACUCUGCCUUUGACUCCUUGAUGUAGCCCUGGUUUUGGUGAUCUCUUACCUUCAGAGUGCUGCAUCACAGGCGUGUCUGACCACUCCUGGCAGUGUGGACAAGGAAGACAUCUGGAUUCCAAACGGCAGUCAGAUUGAUGGAGCUCAUGGUGACUGUGAUGGUGACGCUGAGGAAUCCGUGGUCACAUCUGAACAUUUAACCAAUGGAAU